AGGUACAGGCAUAAACUCGAGA
rnacentral:miRNA from 1 species